UUGUGAUAUUAUUUUUCAAAUGACUGUUUCUCCAUCAAAUGUUUAGACAGGGUCAUUCUGCAUACCCAUUUUUCAUAAAUUUGAGACUUUUGAGUCUCAAGUUUUCCUAUAUGAACUCUAUGGGAAACUCCUUCCUUAAAUGACCGUUUCUCCAAUCAAAUGUUAAUUAGACAGGGUCAUUCCUUGCCUAUUCAACUGGUAUAAUCUGUAUACUCAUUUUUCAUAAAUUUGAGACUUUUGAGUCUUAAUGUGCUGCAGGUUGACCUAACAGAAUAUUUGGAGAAACAUGAAUUUGUAUUUGAUGCUGUACUAAACGAAGAAGUGUCAAAUGAUGAGGUAUAUCAUGAAACUGUAGAGCCUAUCAUUCCCAUAAUUUUCCAACGUACGAAAGCUACUUGCUUUGCUUAUGGGCAAACAGGAAGUGGCAAAACAUAUACAAUGAAGCCACUGCCCCUUAGAGCAGUGAGAGACAUCUUGAGGCUCAUUCAUCAUACCUACAGGAACCAAGGCUUUCAGUUGUUUGUCAGCUUCUUUGAGAUAUAUGGGGGGAAACUCUUCGAUCUGCUCAGUGAUAGGAAGUAAGCUGUUUUCUGGGUUUUUUGUUGGCUUUCACCCUCCAGUGCAAUCUCAACAAGUUCUUGAGGACUUGGUGCUAGAACACAUAAUAUGAUAGAUUUUUGUUUUAGCUAUAAGAUAGUUGGUACUUUCAAUUUUGAAUCGAAAUAUGCAAUGAUCAUAUGUACUUGAUACUUGGUUCAUUUGGAUGGUAAUGUAUGAAUAUUUUGGAUGAUAUAUAAUAUUGUUAUUGGUGAUUUUAUCA